AUUGAACGCUGGCGGCAGGCCUAACACAUGCAAGUCGAGCGAGCGGCGGACGGGUGCGUAAUGUCUGGGAAACUGCCUGAUGGAGGGGGAUCACUACUGGAAACGGUAGCUAAUACCGCAUACCAUCAGCUGUGCGCAGAUGGGAAUAGCUAGUGGGUGGGGUAACGGCUCACCUCGGCGACGAUCCCUAGCUGGUCUGAGAGGCUGACCAGCCACACUGGAACUGAGACACGGUCCAGACUCCUACGGGAGGCAGCAGUAGUGAAUAUUGGGCAAUGGGCGAAAGCCUGAUACAGCAAUGCAGCGUGAGUGAAGAAGGGUUUCGGGUCGUAAAGCACUGUCGGCAGGGAAGCGGUACCUAAAGAAGAAGCACCGGCUAACUCCGUGCCAGCAGCCGCGGUAAUAC
rnacentral:rRNA from 1 species